rnacentral:rRNA from 1 species
AGUGAACGCUGGCGGUAGGCCUAACACAUGCAAGUCGAACGGCAGCACAGUAAGAGCUUGCUCUUACGGGUGGCGAGUGGCGGACGGGUGAGGAAUACAUCGGAAUCUACUUUUUCGUGGGGGAUAACGUAGGGAAACUUACGCUAAUACCGCAUACGAUCUACGGGUGAAAGCAGGGGAUCUUCGGACCUUGCGCGAUUGAAUGAGCCGAUGUCGGAUUAGCUAGUUGGCGGGGUAAAGGCCCACCAAGGCGACGAUCCGUAGCUGGUCUGAGAGGAUGAUCAGCCACACUGGAACUGAGACACGGUCCAGACUCCUACGGGAGGCAGCAGUGGGGAAUAUUGGACAAUGGGCGCAAGCCUGAUCCAGCCAUACCGCGUGGGUGAAGAAGGCCUUCGGGUUGUAAAGCCCUUUUGUUGGGAAAGAAAAGCAGCAGGUUAAUACCCCGCUGUUCCGACGGUACCCAAAGAAUAAGCACCGGCUAACUUCGUG